GCCGGCGUUUCGAGUCUGGCCACGUUUCGGCCGCACAGUUGCGAAGCUUAUUACGAGCUUCCUCGACCUUCCAGACCAUGUUCACCGGAGGGUGCUUCCACGUAGCCGACACGCGUGCCGCAAGCCACUUUGAAAGGUUCGAGAGAGUCAGUAUCGCGAAGAACCAACGGCUCCGUUUGAAGGAACUACGCUGGAUUAAAUUUGACGAAACGCCGCAAUUUUUUAUCUUUACCAGAGUUUCAUUCUACGACAACGGGACGCGGUCUGGACUAAAGUUCCUCUGUUCGAGCGCUAAUGAAGGGAGGAUCGACGUCGAUCACCUCGAUCGCCUCGAUCGCGGUUACGUCGCGACGCAAUUUCGAAGUUGCGGUUGUCUCGCAUCAGAACACGAAGCAGCUGAUAGGAAGAUUAGCGAGGCAACUCGUGAUGUUGCAACCUGGCCAAGUUUUCAUCCUAAA